rnacentral:rRNA from 1 species
GGGGAAUAUUGGACAAUGGGCGAAAGCCUGAUCCAGCCAUGCCGCGUGGAUGAUGAAGGCCCUAGGGUUGUAAAGUCCUUUCGACGGGGAAGAUAAUGACGGUACCCGUAGAAGAAGCCCCGGCUAACUUCGUGCCAGCAGCCGCGGUAAUACGAAGGGGGCUAGCGUUGCUCGGAAUCACUGGGCGUAAAGCGCACGUAGGCGGCUCGUUAAGUCAGGGGUGAAAUCCUGGAGCUCAACUCCAGAACUGCCCUUGAUACUGGUGAGCUCGAGUCCGGGAGAGGUGAGUGGAACUGCGAGUGUAGAGGUGAAAUUCGUAGAUAUUCGCAAGAACACCAGUGGCGAAGGCGGCUCACUGGCCCGGUACUGACGCUGAGGUGCGAAAGCGUGGGGAGCAAAC